ACUCUAAUUAAAGCUUUAAGGAAGUUUUUUAUUUACAUUAAAAGGAUUUAUUGUUAAUCAAUAUAAUUAGA
rnacentral:tRNA from 1 species